rnacentral:rRNA from 1 species
UUUUAUUUGAGAGUUUGAUCCUGGCUCAGGAUGAACGCUGGCGGCGUGCCUAACACAUGCAAGUUGAGCGAUUUAUUUCGGUAAAGAGCGGCGGACGGGUGAGUAACGCGUGGGUAACCUACCCUGUACACACGGAUAACAUACCGAAAGGUAUGCUAAUACGGGAUAAUAUAUUUGAGAGGCAUCUCUUAAAUAUCAAAGGUGAGCCAGUACAGGAUGGACCCGCGUCUGAUUAGCUAGUUGGUAAGGUAACGGCUUACCAAGGCGACGAUCAGUAGCCGACCUGAGAGGGUGAUCGGCCACAUUGGAACUGAGACACGGUCCAAACUCCUACGGGAGGCAGCAGUGGGGAAUAUUGCACAAUGGGCGAAAGCCUGAUGCAGCAACGCCGCGUGAGUGAUGAAGGCCUUCGGGUCGUAAAACUCUGUCCUCAAGGAAGAUAAUGACGGUACUUGAGGAGGAAGCCCCGGCUAACUACGUGCCAGCAGCCGCGGUAAUACGUAGGGGGCUAGCGUUAUCCGGAUU